rnacentral:lncRNA from 1 species
AACCAUCCAGGCAGCUUCAUUCCUACGGGGUACAUACCAAUUUCCAUGAAAAGAGCUUGAUUCUUCAUUGGCAGGAGGCUGCACAAGAAAGCCCACACCUGGUGUGUGGCAGAGUCACAGCUGCGGAGGCUGAGAUGCUGGGCGGAGUCAGAGCUGCGGAGGCUGCGGUGCUGGGCGGAGUCACAGCUGCGGAGGCUGAGAGGCUGGGCGGAGGCUGAGAUGCUGGGCGGAGUCAGAGCUGCGGAGGCUGAGGUGCUGGGCGGAGUCACAGCUGCGGAGGCUGAGGUGCUGGGCGGAGUCACAGCUGCGGAGGCUGAGAGGCUGGGCGGAGGCUGAGAUGCUGGGCGGAGUCAGAGCUGCGGAGGCUGCGGUGCUGGGCGGAGUCACAGCUGCGGAGGCUGAGAGGCUGGGCGGAGGCUGCGGUGCUGGGCGGAGUCACAGCUGCGGAGGCUGAGAUGCUGGGCGGAGUCAGAGCUGCGGAGGCUGAGGUGCUGGGCGGAGUCACAGCUGCGGAGGCUGAGGUGCUGGGCGGAGUCACAGCUGCGGAGGCUGAGCUGUCCUCUUCCCAUGGACUGCAGGAAAAAAUGAAGAAG